GGCAGGCGUUCGCCUGCGUCAUUACGUUGCCAGCUGAUCGGAGUUUGGAGCCGGCUUGCAGCUGGGAGUUGCGGGGAGACGGGACAGGUCAGCGGGAGGGAGCGGUCACUGGCUAGGAGCAGCACCGGGCGCUGCGGAGUCCCGCUGUCAAAGAGUGAUGUAGGCUGGGUACGUGCCUCCGGCAGUGCGGGGUGUAUGGGCGCUGGCUGUGCGGUGGAGACAGGGUACAGUGGGCACUCUCUGCACUGAGUGCUCCGGGUCUCACAGACGGGCUGUGCAGUGAUGGGUUACUCGGGGUGUGGUGAGCUGAUACUCCCCAGUAACUGGUGACAGAUGAGGUGAGUGUGACACUGGAGGUGCCGCAGUGUCAGGGUGGGGUGCAGGAAUAUGGGGGUGGGGCACAUGGAGGGUGCUGGGUGACAUGUAGGAGUAAGGGAGAGCAGCGCUCACUCAGCCCAGUAUGGCUGCUCGGCUGUGUAAGGUCACCAUAUGGACAGGAUACAGCAUGCAGGUACGUGUGCUCAGAGGCUGGAUGGGGCGCAGGGGAAGGGUUGCUCGGGCACAGUAGGUGACAGUGGGGUGGGAGUGGCACUGAGGGAUAGACUUCCAUAUAGAUCUCCACUAUUCAGUGCGUGGGCUGUAGUGAACAGGCUACUGUGGAGUGUCCUCUGUGCACUGCAGAUGCUGUAUAGAAGUAGUAGUGGUAUAUAUAUAGAGGGUGUAGUGUGCAGGCUAUAGGAGGUGCAGUGUUCUAUGUAUUCAGGGUGUAGUAUACAGGCUGUAGGUGGGGUGACUAUAUAGUAGGUGUUCUGUAGUAGGAUAGGGUGCAGUAUAGGUAUAUGGUAACAGUGUGGUAUGUAGGCAGAAGGUGGGGUGCUGUAACUGAGCAGGGUGUAGCCUACAAGCUGGAGGUGGGGUGCUGUAUGUGGACGUGGUGUAGUAUACAGGCUGGAGGAUGAGUGCUGCUGGUGGGUAUAGGGAGGUGACCUGGUGUAGUAUGCAGGCUGGGUGUGAGGUGCUGAUAGACUGUCCGCUAUAUAGGGCGUGUAGCUGACCGGCUAGGAGCGGCUUGUGUCUGGGGCUGACAGGGUGCGGUAGCCUCACUAGCCUGGCCCUGGGCUGAGUGCUGCAAGGUGUCCGGUCUGGGUGGGGAGAGCUGGCUGCUGGGGGUGUCACAACUGAGAGUGGAUGACGUGCUGGGUGCUGCCACUGUGCAUGGCCGGGGAUGGCUGUGGGUGCUGUCACUGUGCAUGGCCGGGGAUGGCUGUGGGUGCUGUCACUGUGUAUGGCCGGGGAUGGCUGUGGGUGCUGUCACUGUGUAUGGCCGGGGAUGGCUGUGGCUGCUGUCACUGUGUAUGGCCGGGGAUGCAGCGAGGAAGGGUGUGUGGGGCAGCUGCUGAUGAGCUGGGUAUGGAGCAGCCUGCUGGUAACGAUGUUAAGUUGUCCUUCUACGUGAAAGUUGCAGCCGUAGUUGCUGUAGGCCAGGGUCGGCUGGUGAUUAGGUGGGUGUGGCCCACAAUCACACCUACCAAUACAUAGACCCUGCAGGUGGAUUGCACACAUUAGGGAGGCUCCCCUGGUUUGGAGGGGGCUCUGACCACACCCCUGUGAGAAUGCAAUACUGGAGAGAGGAUGACAUCUGGCUCUGCUAACGGGUCCCUAUGUUCUAGGAUUCCAGUAAGCAGCAACUGGGCUAAAGACACCAAAAAAACAGCAGCUGACGCGGCUUCUUCCUUGGCUCAUUCCGGCUCACCAGCAGCAGUUCUUCAGUGGCAAGCUUUAUGUUCAUGCUCUAUGCUAAAGCUGCCAGUUGAAGAACUGUUGAAGUUGCCUAUAAUUCUGCUUCGUUUAUGAACUUUUUCAAGAUGGAACCUGAGAAGAAAGGACUUUUGGCUGUCUGUUUUAUAAGCAUUAAUCAAUUAUAUUCGUAUUGUGAGCUGGGCAUUCUAUGUUUCACUGUAAAUUUCUGUUUUUGUAAUUUUGUCUAAUGUAGCUCCUAUAUUGUAUCGCACACUAAUAUAGAAUACUGUUACUUUGUUGGAGCUUAUUUUGUAAUCUAGUAUACAUUCUGGUAGAUUAGAUGUACAUGCAGUGUAGACAUUGCAAUAGGAGGCACAAAGGAAAAUGCUGUAGAUAUCUGGCUCAACUACUUUAUUUUUUUUUUGCAUGUAAUGGAAUAAAAAUCUCAAUAUUUUGUUGGCUUUAGUGUAUCCCAGUGGGUCCCAAACUCAAUCAACAACGCAUCCUAAUAGUCAGGGUUUUAAUAUCCAUGUUGAGUACAGAUUAAAUCAAGUUGUCUGAAGUACUAAUGAAGUCUCCUGUGCUUAUACAUGAAUACCCUUAAAACCUGGCCUGUUAGGCUACCUUGAGUACUGAGUUUGGGAACCACUGCUGUAUCCAUAUCAAUAUAGCUCAUUGCCAGCACUACUGAGUUAAAGCCUGUACCCUGAGGGGGACAGGUUGUUAAUCCCUUUGAGUGCAAGUGUCUCCCUUCCUUACAGACUGCAUUUCUCCACUCCCCCAGUUAAGGUUUUGUUAGGGUUCCAUCCUAGCAGUUGUGGUUGCAGACAGUGUAUGGAGGUCUUGUAGGUUGACCCCUGUAUGGUUGUGGUAAUCUCAUUAGGCCAUGACUUGUGGUUUUUUCCAAUUGCCUACAUCUGUAUGUAGUUAAGGUAUGUGUCUAUACAUUCAGCAUAUCUUUACUACUGUGGUGCCUUGAGUCUGUUGAACCUUUCCUCUAUACCAGUGAUGGGGAACCUUUGGUACUCCACCUGUUUAACUACACAUCCCAGCAUGCCCUGCUACAGUUUUUCUAUUUGGCCAUGCUAAAACUGUAGCACGGCACGCUGGGAUGUGUAGUUCAACAGCUGGAGUGCCUAAAGUUACCCAUCACUGCAGUCUAUACUCUGCAUGAAGUUGCUGUAUUUUUCCCCUCUGUUUAGGCUGCUUUUAUCUGUUACUUUCCAUGGAAGUAAAGCUCAGAAGCAAAAAUCUUUUCAUAAUCCCCCAUAUUAAAUUUUUUUUUUGCUAUUUUGAUUUAUGUCCAACAUUUUAAUAAAACAGUUAGACAAAUCAGGUGGUUUUAAUGACCAAACCCUUUCUUCACUGAAA